UACAGAGGGUGCAAGCGUUGUUCGGAAUCACUGGGCGUAAAGAGUUCGUAGGUGGACUUAUUAGUAUGGGGUUAAAUACCGGAGCCUAACUCCGGAUCUGCUUCGUAAACGGUAAGUCUAGAGUACUAGAGAGGAUAGCGGAAUUCCUGGUGUAGAGGUGAAAUUCGUAGAUAUCAGGAGGAACAUCUGAGGCGAAGGCGGCUAUCUGGCUAGGCACUGACACUAAAGAACGAAAGCAUGGGGAUCAAAC
rnacentral:rRNA from 1 species